UAUGGUGUUAGGUUUACUUGCCUACAAGUUUGGUUCCACUUGGUACGGGCACCAUGCUCUGCUAUCAGCGUAUCUGUAGUAUCAGGGUAUUGUUACUACCUUGAAUGCUGAAUUUAAGGCUGACUGAUCAUGUAUUAGUCUGACUCCCUUCUGAAUUAUACAUAAGCAGAUUUUAGCAGGUCAUCCCAUGGUUGUCCACUAAUCUGGUGUCUGGUCCAUCUUCUUACCCUUGCAAUUUUAGUAUCAUCUGUCCAAUCUUGCCCUGACUGUGUAUAGACUGUUGAAUACUUCAAACAAUGAGCAAUUUGAAGUUCAGAAAUAUGACAAAUAUCUAAAAAUGGAUUCGUUUUUGGAGAAAUAACAUUGUGUAGAGUGGAAAUGCAGAACUAUAUGUUCCUAUUUCACCAACUGGUAUUGAAUAUGUGGUCAAUCUUUGUAGAAAAAACUACAAAGUCUAAACGUUAGUGUGUGAUACAUAUGGAAAAUUGUGAUGUCUAUUUUUUUGAAAUAUUUUUACUUUAUAAAAAGUUUUAAACAGGGCAUAGCAUUAGGUUUCAUAUUUUUGGCCAAGACGCUCGCGAGGCGAUGGCACAUGGCCGGCAAGGCUCGUUCUUAAGCGCACCAGCCCGCAAUUGAGGCGGCGCCCACGGCGCAGCCGUGGCCUUCGGAACGCACCGCGGGGGCAGUGCUACCGGCCACCAGCGCUGCUCCUCCCAGACGGUGGUGCCUAUGGCCAUGGUCCACUGGCCCCGGCCGGGCUCCCUGCGGAGGCGUGUGGGUGGCGGCCUCUGACUUGAAGUCUUCUUGAGAUUUGUACGUCGAUUGCUUGGUCGUCUCUUUGUGCUGUCACUACGUGUACUGAAGAUUAGUUACUUCGCUUUGACUUGGAGCGAGGUGCAGUGGUUUCAGGUUGCUGAUGCUGAUAUUUUCAUGUGAUGUUUGAAUGAUUGUGUGUCUGACCAAGCGUAGUUGCGCUUCUGACAAUGUAUUGGCCUUCCUUUGCUGCACCGAAGUUAGUGAAUUGUUCACCAUGCUUGACUUUGUUCUUAGCAGGGAAAUUUGUGGUGAUUCGUAAUCAAACUUGCAAAGAACAUCCUUCUGAUUAUGUUUGAAGAGGUACGAUGGAUGGUUGAGCUGAGACCACUGUUUGAUAUUUGUUUGCCUUUGCUUUGUAACCAGUGAGGGCUGAAGUGAAUGAAUCUGGAAGUGCUUUAGUGAUUAAUGCUCUGUCCCAAGUUAAGCAUAUUCUACUUCCGGUCACUGGCCGCAAGCCUUACCUUUCAGUUCUAAUUCCUUGAGAUCACCACAGUUGUGAAUAUAGCCAUUGUUUCAACAGAACAAACCUAAGCUUAGCAUGAAAGAGAGUAUGAAAGUUCUGAUCUCUUCAAAAUAUGUGAGGGGCCUUGCUACCUUAGUUGUUGCAUAUGGCAUUAUAAUCAAUUUUGUGUAAGUCACAUGGAAAUCGAAGCUCAAGGCACAGUUCCCCAGUCCAAACGAGCACUCAUCUUUCAUGGGUGAUUUCUCUACCGCAACUGGACUUGCAACUUUCAUGAUGAUGCUGUUAGGCUGGAUUACAUUCCAAAGAUUUGGUUGGGGGGUGGCUUCCAUUAUCACCCCCAUAGUUUUGUGGUGACUGGCGUUGGUUUCUUUUCUGACUUUCAACAAGUGCAGUUCAUUGCCGCAGAGCAGUCUUAGAAGAUCCGUGCACAUGUAGCCUUAUUUCUUAUUCCAAAUUUCAUCAUACAAAAAAAAUACUCAGUGUAACCUCAUUUCUGAUGUUUGCGAAAAUUAGAUUAUAAAAAUGUUGCAUAAUGGCACAUGA